rnacentral:rRNA from 1 species
ACGUGAUCUGAGUUCAGACCGGAGUAAUCCAGGUCAGUUUCUAUCUAUAAAGGACUUUUUCUAGUACGAAAGGAUCGAAAAAGUGUGGCCAAUGCUAAAGUAAGCCACUAACUCAACUUAUGCCUCACCCUCAAUAAGCAAACAACCUAAUAUUUUCCUCACGACAAGAGCU